GGCAUACGGCCGGAAUACAAUCAAAUCGUAUCUGCACCAUGCCUAUGACCUACCCCGCUCACACGUUCCCUCAACAACCAGCCAAACUCCUCCUCUCUCUCCGUCAUCUCAGAUCCAGCCGCCCCCUCCAUCUCCUCUUCCACAACCAGCCACCGUCCCGAUCUGAAGGUCUCCGACCAGAUCAGCCUCCUCCCCACCACGGCGUGCGGCGAGGAGUCCCCGGAUCGCUCGCCGUCACCCAGUGCGGUGCAUAUCUGGUAGUCCGCCCUCACCAAGCAUUCGAUGCGUUGACGGCUCCUAGCACCAGAUACCGCGACGAACGAGCUGUGUUCUGCCUCCUCCGGCUGCCGAGGACCACGGACGCCACUUCGUCUCACCGGCUGGCUCAGCAUCAGCACCGACCACUACUCACAGUUAAUCCCCCAUUCCCCGCUUGCCAAAUCUAGGAGUUGUAUUACUAGGUGUGCAAAAUUGUUGCUACGUCAUGGAUCUAGUAGCACAUGGAUCUAUCACUUUUGCUCUUGGUCUUGUGUUCUCCAGUGCGUGAUGAAUUUGAUGAUGAUGAAAUGGAGGCUGGACGACGUCUGCCACACGAGUUAACAUGCCAGGCUCCUGACUUACUUUAGUUCAUGUCUUCAUGACCAGCAAGUUGUCCUGGUUCCUGCAUAGAUUGUAAUUUUGUAGGCAGAAUUGUACAAGAACUUUUCGGAUGUCCCACUCGUACUUUGCAGAAUUUUGACGAAGGACUUGUAUGUUUUAACAGAACUCUGUUUUACAGAGUAGACACUCUGAAUAAAUUGCUGACGAACUUUAUUUUUGUA